rnacentral:rRNA from 1 species
CAGAGACUGCAAGCGUUAUUCGGAUUCACUGGGCGUAAAGGGUGCGCAGGCGGCCAAGUGUGUUAGGCGUGAAAGCCCGGGGCUUAACCCCGGAAUUGCACCUAAAACUACAUGGCUAGAGCAUUGGAGAGGGUAGCGGAAUUCACGGUGUAGCAGUGAAAUGCGUGGAUAUCGUGAGGAACACCAGAGGCGAAGGCGGCUACCUGGACAAUUGCUGACGCUCAGGCACGAAAGCGUGGGGAGCAAAAGGGAUUAGAUACCCCUGUAGUCCACGCCCUAAACGGUGCACACUAGGUCUUGACGGAUUCGACCCCACCAGGGCCCAAGCUAACGCGUUAAGUGUGCCGCCUGAGGACUACGGUCGCAAGACUA